CCCUUUCUGUAGGCCAUGGACACUUUGCAUCUCAACCAAGCAAGGCCUCCUGCAGGACAUGUCGGCCUCGAACAUAUCUUAUCACAGCUGCGUAUAGCGGCCUACAAGCACCAUAUUUGCACUGCAGACUUCUUCCGUGACCACGACCAUCUACGAUCCGGAAUCAUAACUCGGACACAGUUUGAACGAGGCCUUCACUUUUUUCUCGGAAGAGUGACAAAAUUGGACAGCCAGGACAUCAAUACGUUGACAGAAGCUUUUUCUACCUCCGACGGGCGCGUCAGAUAUCGAGAUUAUUGCAACGCUGUCGAAAAUGGUACAGCAUCUUUCACGUCAUGUGACCGGUUUGGAACUUGUUUAAUAUUGGUGAAAGUUUGGUCAAUUUGUACUCCCAUCAAGCACUGAUUCUGGGAAUUAAAAUAAAUUAGACAUGCUGUGACAUCUCAUGGUUUGAACUUCAAAUAAUUAUUGAAAACAUUUUGAUUUCAGCUUUUGAUGGUCGUCACCUGGAAAAAGCACCAAUGGACUCCGUCAUCCGUCCGAGUCGAGAGGAACUCACAACGGCAAAUCAAGCCAAGAUUCUGACUCCAAAGGAAGAGGAAGAAAGUGGACCACAUAUUGUCACGUCUUGCAGUUAUCAUUUGCCAAAGGCGUUUGGACGCUUGGCCCUAUUUCAAGGACUUCGAGCAGAGCACCGCUGAAACGCACAUCAUCACACGCACACAAUUCUCUCGUAUCCUCCACUUCCUCGGCCUGCACGUGACCAGUGAUGAGCUGCACCUUGUGUGUGACAAGUUCGUCGUUGGAAGCAAUUUCGUAAACUACCUGCUUUUUGUGAAGGCUGUGGAACCAGGAACAGGUGCUCUGGGAGACAGGAAGAGGGACUCCACGAAAGCUGCAAGGGUCAUCGAAGGAACAAAAUCGGAGCAGGUGACGGCACAGACCUCCGGAAUCGUGGACCCAAACAAGUUUCGGAUUCACCUGCAGAAGUACCUUGAGGUCUAUGGAGUCCGGCUGCAAGAGUUUAUUCGGGAUUUUGACCCUCUUCGCUCCGGCUUGGUGUCCACGUCGGUGCUUCGCCGUGCAAUCAGCAUGGCCGGCUUGCGUCCAGAGCCGAGCCAGGCAGUCUUCGAUGCAUUCGCCAGUUGUUACAAAGAUCUGCGCCAGCCAGGCUACAUACGUUACAAUGAGAUGUUGGCUCACCUGCAGCUUCCUCUAGACAAUCUCGGAUUGCGGAAUGGCUUCCACAUGCCUGUGCCUCAGCACCGACACGCUGAGGAUUUGCAAGAAGACCAGCAAGGUGUGCUCGAGAAAGUCCUCCGACACUUUAAAAACACCAUCCUGCAGCGCAGGCUCAAUGUCGAACCAUUAUUUCGAGAAUUUGAUCGACCUUCACCUUAUCAGGAACGGACAGACAGGUGUUCCACAGGCAUGCGACGCGAGACCUCGCCAAACUGCAAUCGAAGACCUCGCUGUUCUUGCGUACAAGACCCUCCGCUAUGUGACGUACAACUCUGAUGAUAUUUCAUAUAAUUUUGUGAAGAGGGCAAAGAUGAAAAUGUCUGAACUUUAAAAUCUACUCUAAAUAUGGGUUUGUUUUAACAUCACUUGCAUUAGUUAGCAAAAUAUUUUUUUUUUAUUAUUAUUUUUAACUUUAACCAAUUUCACCGAUGCAGUAUUUAUCAGGGCGUUUAGCAUUUCCGGGUGUCAAAAUACAGUACUUUAGCAAAACUUGACUGUUACGUUUACAACUUCAGACGAAGUGCACUCGUCGUGGAAUUUACAAACAUAAAUGGAGCAGAAAUACAUUUGUUCAGAGAUCGAUUGCAAUGGAAUUACAAACGAUUAAAAUUACUCUAAUAAUGAAGUUGUUCGUGUCCUGACUUCACAAUACUCGAUCGUGGA
rnacentral:lncRNA from 1 species